rnacentral:rRNA from 1 species
UACAGAGGUGACUAACGUUGUCCGGAAUUAUUGGGCGUAAAGGGCGCGUAGGUGGUCGAGUAAGUCAGAUGUGAAAGCUCUGGGCUCAACCCAGGAAUUGCAUUUGAUACUGCCUGACUUGAGUACGGUAGAGGAGGGUGGAAUUCCCAGUGUAGCGGUGAAAUGCGUAGAUAUUGGGAGGAACACCGGUGGCGAAGGCGGCUCUCUGGACCGACACUGACACUGAAGCGCGAAAGCUAGGGGAGCAAACGGG